UACAGAGGUCCCAAGCGUUGUUCGGAUUCACUGGGCGUAAAGGGUGCGUAGGUGGUGAGGUAAGUCGGAUGUGAAAUCUCCGAGCUCAACUCGGAAAUGGCAUUGGAAACUACCUUGCUAGAGGAUUGGAGGGGAGACUGGAAUGCUUGGUGUAGCAGUGAAAUGCGUAGAUAUCGAGAGGAACACCGGUGGCGAAGGCGAGUCCCUGGAAAACACCUGACACUGAGGCGCGAAAGCUAGGGGAGCAAACAGG
rnacentral:rRNA from 1 species